GAUGAACGCUAGCGAUAGGCCUAACACAUGCAAGUCGAGGGGCAUCACAUGAAGUAGCAAUACGGAUGGUGGCGACCGGCGCACGGGUGAGUAACACGUAUGCAACCUGCCUUCAACAAGGGGAUAACCCGUUGAAAGACGGACUAAUACCCUAUAACACAGGGGUCCCGCAUGGGAAUAUUUGUUAAAGGACAACCGGUUGAAGAUGGGCAUGCGUUCCAUUAGCUAGUUGGCGGGGUAAGGCCCACCAAGGCAACGAUGGAUAGGGGAACUGAGAGGUUUACCCCCACACUGGUACUGAGACACGGACCAGACUCCUACGGGAGGCAGCAGUGAGGAAUAUUGGUCAAUGGACGCAAGUCUGAACCAGCCACGUCGCGUGAAGGAAGACGGCCCUACGGGUUGUAAACUUCUUUUGCAAGGGAAUAAAGUGGGCCACGUGUGGCCUUUUGCAAGUACCUUGCGAAUAAGGAUCGGCUAACUCCGUGCCAGCAGCCGCGGUAAUUACUGACU
rnacentral:rRNA from 1 species